rnacentral:rRNA from 1 species
GAUGAACGCUGGCGGCGUGCCUAAUACAUGCCAGUCGAGCGAACAGACGAGGAGCUUGCUCCUCUGACGUUAGCGGCGGACGGGUGAGUAACACGUGGAUAACCUACCUAUAAGACUGGGAUAACUUCGGGAAACCGGAGCUAGUACCGGAUAAUAUAUUGAACCGCAUGGUUCAAUAGUGAAAGACGGUUUUGCUGUCACUUAUAGAUGGAUCCGCGCCGCAUUAGCUAGUUGGUAAGGUAACGGCUUACCAAGGCGACGAUGCGUAGCCGACCUGAGAGGGUGAUCGGCCACACUGGAACUGAGACACGGUCCAGACUCCUACGGGAGGCAGCAGUAGGGAAUCUUCCGCAAUGGGCGAAAGCCUGACGGAGCAACGCCGCGUGAGUGAUGAAGGUCUUCGGAUCGUAAAACUCUGUUAUUAGGGAAGAACAAAUGUGUAAGUAACUAUGCACGUCUUGACGGUACCUAAUCAGAAAGCCACGGCUAACUACGUG